GACGAACGCUGGCGGCGUGCUUAACACAUGCAAGUCGAACGCUGAAGACCUGGCUUUUGUUGGGUUGGAUGAGUGGCGAACGGGUGAGUAACACGUGAGUAACCUGCCCUCUUCUUUGGGAUAACGCCCGGAAACGGGUGCUAAUACUGGAUAUUCACUGAUCUUCGCAUGGGGGUUGGUGGAAAGGUUUGUUCUGGUGGGGGAUGGGCUCGCGGCCUAUCAGCUUGUUGGUGGGGUGAUGGCCUACCAAGGCUUUGACGGGUAGCCGGCCUGAGAGGGUGACCGGUCACAUUGGGACUGAGAUACGGCCCAGACACCUACGGGAGGCAGCAGUGGGGAAUAUUGCACAAUGGGCGAAAGCCUGAUGCAGCGACGCCGCGUGAGGGAUGGAGGCCUUCGGGUUGUAAACCUCUUUCGCUCAUGGUCAAGCCGCAACUGUGGGUUGUGGUGAGGGUAGUGGGUAAAGAAGCGCCGGCUAACUACGUG
rnacentral:rRNA from 1 species